CCUUCGAUAGCUCAGCUGGAAGAGCGUGGGACUGUAAAUCCCAAGGUCACUGGUUCGACCCCGGUUCGAAGGA
rnacentral:tRNA from 1 species